UUUAGUCGUGUCCGACUCUUUGUGACCCCCUGGACCAGAGCACGCCAGGCCCUCCUGUCUUCCACUGCCUCCCUCAUGCUGGCAGCUUCGAGAACACUGUCCCACCAUCUCGUCCUCUGUCGUCCCCUUCUCCUUGUGCCCUCCAUCUUUCCCAACAUCAGGGUCUUUUCCAGGGAGUCUUCUCUUCUCAUGAGGUGGCCAAAGUCUUGGAGCCUCAGCUUCUGGAUCUGUCCUUCCAGUGAGCACUCAGGGCUGAUUUCCUUCAGAAUGGAGAGGUUUGAUCUUUGAGCCAGGGAAGUCCCCAAAUAGAAGUUCCAUCACAGAAGGAGAAAGGAAAGAGGGGAAGGGGAUCAAAUUGGCUCCAAGCCAAAGGCCAGGCAGAACAACUCUGUCUUACAGGCCCUGCGGAAAGAAAUCAGAUCCUGCAGGGCCCUGGUCUCAUGAGACAGAGCGUUCCACCAGGCUGGGGCCAGUGUUGAAAAGGCCCUGGCUCUGGUUGAGGCUAAUCUGACUUCCUUAGGGCCUGGGACCUCUAGGGUGUUGCUGUUUAUGGACCUUAAGGUCCUCUGUGGGGCAUACCAGGAGAGGCGGUCCCGUAGGUACGAGGGUCCUAGGCUGUAAAUAAACAUCAGUUGCUGGAAACUCCAGAAGGGUAGAGUGCUCUUGGGCUGCCAGAGCCAUCUUUCCCAUUGGGUUUACUCGCGCAUUGCGCCAGGGCGCCAGCCUCUCAGGGGGGCCCAGCAAGUGGGGGAGCUGCGCAGCUUUGCCGGCGGCCUCCUCUUUCCCUCCUGCAUGCCCACCAGCUGUGCCCUGUCCACCAUAUGGCUGGCGGGCAUGCAGCUUGCCUCCCAACCUUUCGCGCAAGGAGAGCAAGCCCCGCAGAGGCUUAGGAUGGAAGCUGCGCCCUGCCAACUAUAUAGCUGGAGGGGGUGUGCAGCUUCCUUUCCAAGCCACCACAGGAGGAGAGCAAUCCCCACAGACGCUUGGGAAAAGGUCGACAACUCUGGGAAACGUGGAGCGGGGCGCCGGAGGGAACUUUGCACCACAGCACCAGAUAUGCUUAAGACGGCAAUGUGUGCUGCAAUACUGCCUGGAAGGAGGAUGGAGGGUGUCUUUGAGCACACCCGCUUUUGCCACACACAUACACCCCUGGUGUGUGACCACUGGAAGGAAGCUACCAGAGUGGCUGGGAAAACCCAGCCUGAUGGGUGGGGUAUAAAAGAUAAAAUUAUUAUGAUGAUUACCCAUGAGGGAAUGUGUCCCAGCAGCUGAAAAAGGUUCCCCGCUGCUUGACCUGCUCAAACGCCCCAGGGUCACCCCUCUGCCCCAAUUCCAUUCCCCAAGAGCGUGUCCACAUACAACUGGGAAUGUCCUCUAUUUGAAAUCCCAAAGUGCUGCCAGCGGUCAGUUUAGAUCCGUGGUUCCCAACGCGGGGCACAUGCCCCACAGGGGGGCAAUUUGAUUUCUAAGGGGAGGGGCAGUUUGGAAGCUUGUUUGUUGUAGUUGUUUAGCCAUUUAGUCAUGUCCGACUCUUUGUCACCCCCUGGACCAGAGCACGCCAGGCACUCCUGUCUUCCACUGCCUAACACAGUUUGGUCAAACUCAUGCUGGUAGCUUCCAGAACACUGUCCAACCAUCUCGUCCACUGUCGUCCCCUUCUCCUUGCGCCCUCCAUCUUUCCCAACAUCAGGGUCUUUUCCAGGGAGUCUUCUCUUCUCAUGAGGCGGCCAAAGUCUUGGAGCCUCAGCUUCAGGAUCUGUCCUUCCAGUGAACACUCAGGGCUGAUUUCCUUCAGAAUGGAUCAGUUUGAUCUUUUUGCAGUCCCUGGGACUCUCAAGAGUCUCCUCCAGCACCAGAAUUCAAAAGCAUCCAUUCUUCAGCGAUCAGCCUUCUUUAUGAUCCAUCUCUCACUUCCAUCCAUCACUACUGGGAAAACCAUAGCUUUAACUAUACGGAAGCUUGUUUAAACCGAGUUAAUGGCCCAAGACUCUGUCUCUGCAUAUACGGGAACUUCCUGUGUUGCCAGUCGCUCCCUGUGUGUGUCCUCAGAGCACAGCCCUUGGCAGGAUAAGGAGAGAAAUUCCAAGGAUUUGCCCCCUCCCCACCUUUAUCUGCAAGGCAACAGUGAACUGAUCUCCCAGCAACAUUGUUGCAAGGAAGAGCGUAGUCGCCGGCCGUUGCAGCUGGACAGCAGCCGAGAUCUGGCUGACUGUUUCCUUUCUUGCUACAGGUGCAGAGUCCGUGCAGAUAAGGAGGGGUCUUCGGUUCUAAAAAGGCUUCUCUCUUGGAAGGUCAAGCCAGCAAGUCGAAACAUUAAGUAGAAGCGAGGUCAUUUCCAAACUCGGCUCCUGAAAGAGCACGAGACAAACGAGGGGGGAGGUCCCCAAAGAUUGGUAGUUUCAGGAACUGGUGAAUUUGGGACCAAUUUGGGGUGGGGGACUGUAUCCUGAGAAUCUAGUGUUGAGAUCCUGUAUGUACACAAGGUCCAGCAUUUCGUGGGCGGCUGCCAGAUCAAGCAGAGGGAUCUGUCUUGACCAUGUAGAUACUUUUGGUGGGAUCUUUCAGUUAAAGAUUUGGGAUGGACUGUUUGGAGAAAACACUGCAGAAGGUCCCUCCAAUCUUCAUAUUCUGCCCCUAAAUUCCAGGCAGGAUCCAACCCAAAGGGAUGUGAAGUCACAUUUUGAGCAUUUGUAUCCUGCCUCAGUGUGCCAGGCGCCAACCUCAGGCUACCUUUGAAAUCAAAGUAGUUCCCCCAGACUGGGCAGCUUGCACAAAUUAAAACAAUGCAGGCUAAACACAGUUAAAAACACAUGAAAGAUAACAGUUAAUUAUCUGUGAUUAAGCUAUAACAGAAUUAAAACAAUAUAAAAACAGAUCUGCUAAAAUAGAGUUCGUAAAAGCAGCAUAGCACUAUUAAAGCUCUUUCCUUAAAAAACAGUCAGUUGCCAAAGGCUUGAUGAAAUGAGAAGGUCUUCACCUGCCAGCAGGACAGCAAGCAGGGAGCCAGUCUGGCUUCUCUAGGGAGGAAAUUUCAAAGCUGCCUGGGAGGAGCCACCACUGAGAAGGUCCUCUCCUGUAUCCCCACCAAGGAUGUAUCCUGCAUCCCCACCAAAGGUGUCUGUGAAAGUGGUGGGACUAAGAGCCUCCCUUGAAGAUCUCUACUUUCAGCAGGAGCUCUCAGGCUUCCAUGUCUCACAGGAGGUAAGGGGGCCUAUUUCUUCAAGAGAUCUGACUUAUGGUACAAGCCCAAACCGACAGCUCUGUCUGUCGCUUUGCCUAUCCAUGGAGCUACUGAGUCUGCAAAAGGCUAGACCCUGACGUCCUGUGUUCAGUUCUGGGUGCCACAAUUUAAGAAGGAUUUUGACAAAGUGGAACAUGUGCAGAGGAGGGCGACCAGGAUGAUCAAGGGUCUGGAAACCAAGCCUGAUGAGGAACGGUUGAGGGAGCUGGGGGCGUUUAGCCCGGGGAAAAGGCAACCAAGAGGAGAUAUGUGUCAGGAGUGUGUGCAGGAGCCAGGCCCUGUGACCAAUAGGACUUUGCAGGACUGGGCCUUCCUAAGUUUGUUCUGAAGAGGCAAGGCACGGCCGCACAGGUGAGGCCAAUUGGUAACUCACAGCACCUGGUGGCAAGAGCUGGGAAGGGAUAUAAGGUCAGCAUUUCCCUUCAGCUCUUGGCCAUAGCAACACGUUCCCUGCCUUGCUGCGUUUGGUUUCUUGCUUCCUGAUCCUUGAACCUCGGCUUCUUGAGUCCCUGCUUCUUGAUCCUUGGACCCCUGACUUUGUGGCUCCUUGCUUCUUGAUCCUUGGACCCCUGACUUCGUGACUCCUUGCUUCUUGAUCCUCGGACCCCUGACUUCGUGACUCCUUGCUUCUUCUUUUUUUUUUAAAAGAUAUUUAUUAAGAUUUUCAAAAUAUUACAAAACAAAAAAAGAAAAAAGUACAAAAAUAAAAAUGGCUAAAAACAACUCAAUCUUUCCAUUACUUAUUUUUCAUUAGCUUAUUUCCCGGACCUCCUCACGCCUCCCUUUUUUGUAUUCCAGUUCAGUUUGUUGGUUCAGCAAAUCCUUACCCUCUUUGUUUAUCCUAGUCCUUAAUCUUAAAGUAUUGUAACAUUAAAUUUUUACCUAUUAAUAAUCCAUUUUCAUAUUCCCUUAUAGUAUUACAGCUGAAAACCACUUAAUUUCUAUCCAACAUCAUUCUAACAUUCAUUAAUUUUACAAUAUUUCUGUAGAUAGUCCUUAAAUUUCUUCCAAUCUUCUUCCACCGACUCUUCUCCCUGGUCUCGGAUUCUGCCAGUCAUUUCCGCCAAUUCCAUAUAGUCCAUCACCUUCAUCUGCCAUUCUUCCAGAGUGGGUAGAUCUUGUGUCUUCCAAUACUUUGCAAUGAGUAUUCUUGCUGCUGUUGUGGCAUACAUAAAAAAAGUUCUGUCCUUCUUUGGCACCAAUUGGCCGACUAUGCCCAGGAGAAAGGCCUCUGGUUUCUUCAAGAAGGUAUAUUUAAAUACCUUUUUCAACUCAUUAUAUAUCAUCUCCCAGAAAGCCUUAAUCCUUGGGCACGUCCACCAAAGGUGAAAGAAUGUACCUUCAGUUUCUUUACAUUUCCAACAUUUGUUAUCGGGCAAAUGAUAAAUUUUUGCAAGCUUGACUCGGGUCAUGUACCACCUGUAUAUCAUUUUCAUAAUAUUCUCUCUUAAGGCAUUACAUGCCGUAAACUUCAUACCUGUGGUCCAUAACUGUUCCCAGUCAGCCAUCAUUAUGUUAUGUCCAACAUCUUGUGCCCAUUUGAUCAUAGCAGAUUUCACCGUUUCAUCCUGAGUAUUCCAUUUCAACAGCAAGUUAUACAUCUUUGACAAAAUCUUAGUUUUGGGUUCUAACAGUUCUGUUUCUAAUUUUGAUUUUUCCACCUGGAAACCAAUUUUCUUGUCCAAAUUAUAUGCCUCCAUUAUCUGAUAAUAAUGAAGCCAGUCUCGCACUUUGUUUUUUAAUUUCUCAAAACUCUGCAAUUUCAGUCUAUCUCCAUCUUGUUCCAAAAUUUCCCAAUAUUUCAGCCAUUUGGCCUCCAUAUUGAGCUUUUUCAGAGCUUUCGCUUCCAUCGGUGACAGCCACCUUGGGGUUUUAUUUUCCAAUAAGUCCUUAUAUCUUAUCCAAACAUUAAACAAUGCUUGCUUGACUCCUUGCUUCUUGAUCCUUGAACCUCGGCUUCUUGAGUCCCUGCUUCUUGAUCCUUGGACCCUUGACUUUGUGACUCCUUGCUUCCUGACCCUUGGACCCAUGGCUUCCUGACUCCUGGCUUCUGAACCCCCGUUCCUGCUCCCACCCUGCCAUCUUGCUCUGCUGGGACAUCGAUCGCCCGUGCACUGGACCGUGACAAUAUGGUAACCAACUUCAAAUACCUGAAGAGCUGUCAAGUGGAAAAUGGAGCAAGCUGUUCCAGAGGGUAGGACCUAUAAUAAUGGAGUCAAAUGACUAGAAAGGAGAUUCCAUCUAAACAUGAGGGAAAACGUUAUUACGGUAAGAGCUGUUUGGCAGUGGGACUGAGUCCCUCAGAAGGUGAUGGACUCUCCUUCAUUGGAGGUUUUUCAACAGAGGUGGUGCUUGCUCUAGUUAUCUCCCGCUUGGGCUACUGCCAUGCGCUCUCUGUGGGGCUACCUUUGAAGGUGACGCAGAAACCACAACUAAUCCAGAAUGCGGCAGCUAGACUGGUGACUGGGAGCGGCCACCGAGACCAUAUAACACCAGUCUUGAAAGACCUACAUUGGCUCCCAGUAUGUUUCCGAGCACAAUUCAAAGUGUUGGUGCUGACAUUUUAAAACCCUAAAUGGCCUCCGUCCAGUAUACCUGAAGGAGCGUCUCCACCCCCAUUGUUCUACCCAGACACUGAGGUCCAGCUCUGAGGUCCUUCUGGCAGUUCCCUCACUGUGAAAAGCCAAGUUACAGAGAACCAGGCAGAGGGCCUUCUUGGUAGUGGCACCCACCCUGUGGAACUCCCUCCCACCAGAUGUCAAAGAGAAGAAGAACUACCAGACUUUUAGACGACAUCUGAAGGCAGCCCUGUUUAGGGAAGCUUUGAAUGUUUAAUAGAUUAUUGUAUUUUAAUAUUCUGUUGGAAGCCGCCCAGAGAGGCUGGGAAAACCCAGCCAGAUGGGCGGGGUAUAAAUUAUUUGUUUGUUUGUUUGUUUGUUUGUUUGUUUGUUUGUUUGUUUGAGGUUGGGUUGCCAUCUGUCAGGGAUACUUUACUUGUGAUUCCUGUGUUCCAGGGAGUUGGGCUUGUUGACCUUUGGGGGUCCCUCCCAACUUUACGACUCUAUAAUUCCCUGCUUGAUGUCCCAUUCCAACCAGGGAUCUCAGGUGGGCGGCCAAGCCCUGCAAGAUAAACCAGCUUGAUCCCCUGCGCUGCCUGAGUCAGCCUGCUUGUCUUUAUUUUGUCCUGGCCGCGGGCCCCGGUUCAAGGAGAGUUGAAUUUCUGAUACUGCGGAGAAUACAAGAUAACUGUUGCAUUUUUAACAUACUAACAAUUCCUCCGCUGGCAGACCGUUGCGGCAGCAGCAGGCAUCCGCAGAUCACAGAACAGUUACUUAGUCGCAGGGAGCCUGGAAUGGGACGCUGCCUCCCUGCGAACCCUGGCUGGCGCGCUUGCAAGUGGCCUUUGUUUGCAGGCGGCUCGGGUGCCUGUUCCUGGCCCCGGCCCUGACGCAGGAGUGGGCAAGCAGGGGGCGAGCUCUGCUGAAUCAGCUGCUGUCACCAGGCCAAGGAGAUGGCUGGAGCGAGCCGAGGGGGGAGCAGCUGCUGCGUUCAGUCACAGGAAGUCUUCGAGCCAAGCAACCUGAGUGGCAGAGUGGAGGAACGCAGAGUUUUGCACCAAGGACCAAGAAGUCCAACUGCGGGAGACGGUGCAACCCGUCUUAGCCACUUAGCCAGAAAUCAUUGGUGGCCCUUUAAGAUCAAUACGUUGACAGACAGAGACACAGAGACAAAGACAGAGUGAUACAGAUGAUACAGAUAUACUGAUAUACACAGAUGACGGUACUGGAGCCUGGCAGUUUUGCACCCUAGGCAAAGCUAACUACAGUGGUACAGUCAUACUUCGGGUUACAGACGCUUCAGGUUGCGUUUUUUCGGGUUAUGGACCGCCAAAACCCGGAAGUACCGGAAUGGGUUAGUUCUGGGUUUCGGCGGUCGCACAUGCGCAGAAGUGCUGAAUCGCAACCCGCGCGUGUGCAGACGCUUGAGGACUGCGGGCUACUAUAGAGAGUAUGCAAGGCGCUCCUGCUUCUGCCCUCCAGAAGAGGGGAAUAGUGCCCUCCAUGGAAGUGCUGUGGUGGCAGCCACCCUUCAACCCAGCCAGAUGGGUGGGGAAUGAAUGAAUGAAUGAAUAAUUAUUAUUAUUAUUAUUAUUAUUAUUAUUAUUAUUAUUAAACUCAACUUGAAUAAAAUAUUGCCAACUUGAAUAAAAUAUUGUGGGGACCCAGGUAAGCCCAGCCCCACAUAAUCAAUCAAUGCUGUAUUGUGUUUUUAAUAUUCGAUUGGGAGCCACCCAGAGUGGCUGGGGAAACCCAGCCAGGUGGGCAGGGUAUAAAUAACAAAUUAUUAUUAUUCAAAAUAAAAUAUAAAAUAAAAAAAUUGUCCAGUAGCACCUUAAAGGUAAAGGUAAAGGGAUCCCUGACCAUUAGGUUCAGUCAUGGCCGACUCUGGGUUGCGGCGCUCAUCUCGCUUUACUGGCCGAGGGAGCCAGCGUACAGCUUCCGGGUCAUGUGGCCAGCAGGACUAAGCCGCUUUUGGCGAACCAGAGCAGCGCAUGGAAAUGCCGUUUACCUUCCCGCCAGAGCAUUACCUAUUUAUCUACUUGCACUUUGACGUGCUUUUGAACUGCUAGGUUGGCAGGAGCAGGGACCGAGCAAUGGGAGCUCAUUCCGUCGCGGGGAUUCAAACCGCCGACCUUCUGAUCGGCAAGUUCUAGGCUCUGUGGUUUAACCCACAGCUCCACCUGCAUCCCUCCAGUAGCACCUUAGAGACAAGCUAAGUUUAUUCUGGGUAUAAGCUUUCGUGUGCAUACACACUUCUUCAGAUACACUGAAACAGAAGUCACCAGGCCCUUAUAUAUAGUGGGAGGGUGGGGUGGGGUUUUUCUCAGGAGAGUAGUAGGAGAUGGGUGAUUGACUCAAUGGGUAUGGUAAAGCUGUUGAUGACUGUUUAAGACUGCAAUUAGUCCUACAGGAAAAAGCAAGGGAUAGUAUGCAGAUGACCUACCUGAAUCUGUUGUUGUUGUUGUUGUUGUGACGCAGUGCACACACACCAUUUGAAUGGGAAUGCCCAUCAACUUUGUGGGGGCCCUGCCCCCUCAAAUAUUUUAUUGUGGGGGCCGAAGCCCCUGCGGAGUUGGCUCCUAUGCCUCAGCUUCUGCCACCUGAGGCAGUAGCCUCCGCCUGCCCAAUGGUUGCACCGGCACUGCACUGGGGACAGUCUGCUCCCCAGACUCCUGAACCGCCCGUCAGUUCCAUCCCCCAGCCCUUGGCUGGGCAAAUGCGCCCCCAAAUAACAGAGCCACCAGCUCCUGCUCCCACACUGCCCUUGGUGACCCUUGGCACGGAUCCACAGAGGCACUUGGUCCACUUGGCCUGGCUCACCUGGAGAGACCACAGCCUAAUCAUCAGCUAAGACUCAGGGCUUAGAGCAACAGCACAGCACUCUCCUUGCAUUCCUUGUCAGGCCUGAUCUAAAACACAUUGGCUGCUGCACCACAGAAAGCCAUAAUCUCCGAGGGGUGGCCAGAGGAAAGGAUGGAGGAGCAUCUAUGACUGGUGUUGCCUUUGCAGCUUAGAUCUAGCUUCUGCCUCACUUUGCCACCUCCGCGACCCAGCCAGUCCACAGGCCUCUCCACCAGGGCUUACGUUCCCAGUGUCUUGAUGGGAGCCAUCCAUCACGACAGGCCCAAGCGCCUGCCUCCCUCCCCGCCCCCAAAAAAACGUCUGGACAGGACCGGUUGCAACAGCAGCAGCUGGAGAGUUCAUCUCUUCUUUAUCCCCCCGCCCGCCGUUAACACAGAUCCUCUUGUGUUAAAGCAGAAACAAACAGUCCCCGUCCCAAACAGGAUUCAACCUUCUAAAAUUCCAGGCAGGAGACACUGUCACUCUGCCAAUGCACAGGAUGGCGCUCGCCCAAGUCUGUCAGAAUGACCUGUGGGCUGUUUCCCCAGUGGGACUCUGGUUACUCCAGACAACUCUGUGUCCCUCGGACGGCUGCCUGCUCAUUGAUCACUUUCACUUGCUUUCCUACCCAGACAUGAUCCCUCCUGCCUCCCUUGCUUUGCUAAAUACAAAACUGGCCUUCGCCACCAGCUGAGAUCCUCCUUCUCCUCCUUCUGGUGCUACGUGAUGUCUCCCCACCCCCAUCUGAAGAGUGGAAGCCCACCCAUAGGCCUUGGAACUGUUUCUCACAGGCAACAGAAUGGUAGACUAGACACGCCAUUGGUCUGGUCCAGGGUCUUAUGCGCUUGUGUUCUUAGAUGAUUAUCUCUGGCCUAUUGUGCCUCCCUCUAUCUCUGUGAACCAACCCAGACCCUGAGAUCAUCAUCCGAGGACCCUUUUUGUGGGCCUCCUCCACAAGAGAUCUAGAAAGUUGGCAAAACGAGAACAGGGCCUUUUCUGCAGUGGCUCCCCAUUUGUGGGAUGCUCUCCUCAGGGAGGCUUGCCUGGCACCUUCAUUGUAUUUAGGCUCCAGGCAAAAAUGUUCCCCUUCUCCUAAGGCCUUUGGCUAAUUAAACCACUGAUGGCUUUUAAGCUGUGGGGGGGUAUUGUUUUUGUUUGUUAAUAUGGUCUGCAUUUUAGUGUUUUUAUGUUUUUAAACCUGUGCUCCUCAGAAAAAGAGCAGUAUAGAGAUGAUGAUGAAUAACUGCCCUUCCUGCUUCAGGAUCUGGCUCCAGACAGGUGGGUCUUGCCUCAAAUGCAGGGCCCAUUAGAUUCUGAGGUAAUAGCAGGCGCAUGAGCUGAGCAUCUGGUUCCUUUCCAUUUUUAUGCAUUGUGCUUUUGGGGGUGGGGAGGGCAGGGGCAGAAAUGCUCCCCUUCCACCACGAAUUCCUUCCCACAUUUCAAAAGCAGAGUGUUUCUGGAAGUGCUUAGGAUAUGUAUGUCCAGGUUGGGCAAAAGCCUCCCCUUGAAUGCUUGGUAGGGUGAAAACCCUCAGGGCUCCUACCUGCCCAAUCCAUCAAGGGGAAGAUAUUGGGUUUCAUGGCGCAGCAUCCAUAAAACCUAAUUGUGGCGUCUCUCUCCCCCGCCCCCGGCAGACACUCAGUUUGGCCCAGCCAAAUGCGCUCUCCUUUCAAGGAGGCCCAGUUUUCCUUGCCAGCCCUCAGACCUCUUGGUCAGACUCUCCAUCAUCUGGGAGGAGGAGUUCCACAAGGGAGAACCUCCCCUGGAGAAGCUUCCGAGAUGAAUUGGGUAGAGAAAAUGUUAGCUCCCAGGCUGCAGAACUAGAAGCAAGUCCCCUGCUGCCUCCCCCCCUUUUUUUGUUCUGAACUCCUCUUUAUUUUUCCUUACCCUACCAAUACAUGAGGAAAGCAGACUAGAUGGACCUUUAAUCAAAUUCAGCCUGGUCCAUAUGUCUGUCAUCAUUUGCUUCUGGUGUAAAAGCUGGUCCAUAGGGUUGUCCUUCUCCUUCUCCAAAGAACAUUCCACAACCAGAGCACCACCAAUUCUGAAAGCCUAAUAGCCAUAGCUGCAAUCUAUGGCAGUGCCAGAGACACCCUUUUGGGGUACCUGUGAGAUAGACGCUGGACCUACCUUAUUUUCUUGACUGCAAUCUGUUUUAACUGCUUUUUAAUAUCACCUUUUAUUUUUUUAAAAAUAUGAAUUUAUAAGAGUACAAAAUACAGAAGUGAAGAACAAAAAAGAAAAUUUAAUAUUGUCUUUUAAACCUGUUGAGGCCCUGGGACCUGAGGCUGAAAGGCUGGUAAGAAACCAAAUAAACAGAUCCCCAUCAAUAGAUCACCAGGGGGCAACUUUUGACUGAUGGCAAACACAAUCCACAAUUCAAAGUGUUGGUGCUGACCUUUAAAGCCCUAAAUGGCCUCGGCCCAGUAUACUUGAAGGAGCAUCUCCAUCCCCAUUGUUCUGCCCGGAAACUGAGGUCCAGCUCCGAGGGCCUUCUGGCAGUUCCCUCCCUGCGAGAAGUGAGGUUACAGGGAACUAGGCAGAGGGCCUUCUCGGUGGUGGCACCCGCCCUGUGGAAUGCCCUCCCAUCAGAGAUGUCAAAGAGAUAAACAACUAUCUGAUGUUUAGAAGACACCUGAAGGCAGCCCUGUUUAGGGACGUUUUAAUGGCUGACGUUUUAAUGUAUUUUUAAUCUUUGUUGGAAGCUGCCCAGAAUGGCUGGGGAAACCCAGCCAGAUGGGUGGGGUACAAAUAUAAUAAUAAUAAUAAUAAUAAUAAUAAUAAUAAUAAUAAUAAAUCCUGACUAUCAGAGAAUGCAGGAACAGGAGGAAGCUGCCUUCUGCAGAGUUAGACCAUUAGUCCAUCUAGUCACUUUUGCCCACUCAGACUUCCAAGGGAUCUGCAGGAUGUUCAGGCUGGUGAUCUUUCCCAGCCCUGCCUAGAGAUUCCUUCUUCUUGCACCUGGAGUUGGACUCUGUCCCUGGUUUUUCAGUGGCAAAAAAACCCCCUUCUGCGUCUGCACAGAGGAUUCACAGAGGAGAGGGCUCUCAAUGGCUCCUAGCCACAAGGGCUGCUUCCACAUUUGGAGGUAUCAGGGCUUUGGAUCCCAGCUGCUGGAAACCACAGGAGGGGAGAGUUGCUCUUGGGCUUGAAUUCCACUUGCAGGUUUCCCACUGCGGCUUCUGGUUGGCCCUUGUGAGCACAGGGUGACCUGUCCCCUACCAGGCAGGUCUUUGCCCAUGUGACCUGGGAGGAUGCAGCCCGGACUGACUCCAGCUACAAAAGCUGAGGCUGAUGAACAGAUUCUUGGACUGGGGUAUUGUUUAGGGUUUUUGUUGGUGGUGCUAUUGAUAUUUAGUUUGUUAUCUCUAUGAAAAAAGAAAUGGAGGCAGUGACAGAUUUUACUUUCUUGGGCUCCAUGAUCACUGCAGAUGGUGACAGCAGACGAAAUUAAAAGAUGCCUGCUUCUUGGGAGAAAAGCAAUGACAAACCUAGACAGCAUCUUAAAAAGCAGAGACAUCACCUUGCCAACAAAGGUCCGUAUAGUUAAAGCUAUGGUUUUCCCAGUAGUGAUGUAUGGAAGUGAGAGCUGGACCAUAAAGAAGGCUGAUAUCCGAAGGAUGGAUGCUUUUGAAUUCUGGUGCUGGAGGAGACUCUUGAGAGUCCCAUGGACUGCAAGAAGAUCAGACCUCUCCAUUCUGAAGGAAAUCAGCCCUGAGUGCUCACUGGAAGGACAGAUCGUGAAGCUGAGGCUCCAAGACUUUGACCACCUCAUGAGAAGAGAAGACUCCCUGGAAAAGACCCUGAUGUUGGGAAAGAUGGAGGGCACAAGGAGAAGCGGACGACAGAGGACGAGUUGGCUGGACAGUGUUCUCAAAGCUACCAGCAUGAGUUUGACCAAACUGCGGGAGGCAGCGGAAGACAGGAGUGCCUGGCGUGCUCUGGUCCAGGGGGUCGCGAAGAGUCAGACAUGACUAAAGGACUAAACAACAACAAUCUCUACUUUUAGAUCUUCUUAUGAUAAGGAAAUCGUUAAUUAUGUAUUUUCCGUUUUUUAUAUUGUGAUUUUAUGUUGUGAACUGCCCUGAGAUCUACGGGCAUAGAGUGGUAUACACAUUUAAUAUAAUAACAAUAACAACAACAAUAAUAAGGUUGUGCACUUUUUGAUGUGUUUUAUUUAUUGUUUCUAUUUUUGUUCCAUUUGCAAUUAUGUAAUUUUUUUUCAUGUUGUAAACCGCCUUGAGCACUUUGGAAAGGCAGCAUACGAAUCAAACGAUGUUUGUAUUUAGGACCAUGAUCUGCUCUUGAUGGGCCACCGGCCUCACUCAGCAGAUGUUUACAGGUCUCCUUCUAUUUCCGAUGUUCGGCUUGUGGCGUGCGGCUGCCAGAGUGCAGCCAGAACAGCACCACCCACGGACGAGAGCUUGGGGGAACUCCAAGCCCUGGGGAAGUUCCACUCCCACCCCCCACAAAAAAAACAAAUAACAUCCCAAUGCAGAGGAGGAUGGCGUGUGCUCCAGGGACACAGGAAAAUGAAAAAUGAGGGAAGCAGAGGGAGGGUGGCUGUGAAACCAAAGACCAGCAAGAUGUUGACCACGAUAAACAGCAGCCUUUUGUGGCAAGUCCCACAGGCCCUUCUCCUCCGUUGCUGCCGCUUUGGAGCCACGAGGAGCAGGAGGCGGUUAGGUUCCAGGGCAAAGCUGUCAACGUUUCCCCUUUUUUAAGGGAAAUUCCCUUAUUCCGAAUAGGAUUCCUCGCAAAAAAAGGGAAAAGUUGACAGCUAUGUUCUGGGGAAAAGGGAGACAACCUCUCUGCAUUUCCCUGGUGCAAUUGGUAGCGCCCUGCGGAAAGACUUCCACCUUUUGCCUCCCUCUUCCGAAUCGCCUUUCAGCCUCCUGAUGUCCAGAUGCUCAGAUGUUCUGCCCUUGACCUCCUUGCUUCUCUCCUCCUCCUCCUCCUCUUCACAACUCCCCCCAUCACACACACCCCCAAAGUGAAAUUAGCUUACUGAAACAUGUUUUCUUUUAGGAAUCCGCAGCCUAAUCCAGAACAAACAAAACACGUUUUCAGAAACCGCUGAACGCAUGAACUCUUGCCCUCGCCUUGACCGCGGGUGCUUCCUCCUCCCCCCUCCACCCCACCAGCCCUUCCCUACUUCUCCCCCCCCCCGCACAACAAACAUUACCAUAUGCCUGAGGUUUCCAAGGCAUUUCUUUCCACUGACAGAUACAAUCUGCAACAAGGCAGACGCUGCAGACCUUUUUUUCCCCUUCUGACAACAACUGGAGGGGCAAGGGUUUAUUCUUAAUUUUCCUUCAAUGGGUGUGGAACAAGUGGGACUGCGUGUCUUCGGGGGUGGUGGGUCUGUGUGUAUAUUUGUGAAUGGUGCAUAAAAGUGAGGGUUAACUGGCAUGUGUCUCUUUGGCUAGACAGAAGUGCUGAAGAGUAGGAAGUGGCCCAACGUGUCAUCGAAUUGGAGAGUUGGAAGGGACCUCCAGGGCUCAUCCAGUCCAGCCCCCUCCCAUGUAGGAAUCACAGCAGAAGAAACAGUCACUGGUGACCAUCCAAAUGCUGUUUGAAGGAGAUGCUGUCACCUUCCAAUGUGGCCCAUUCCAUUGUCAAAUGACUCUUGGCUUCAGAAAGUUCUUCCUCAUAUUUGCUUCGUAUCUGCUGUUUUGUCAUUUGAAUCAGUUCAGGUCCUCCCCUCUGCAGCAGCGGAAAUCAGGCUUGUUCUAUCUUGCAUGUGACAGCCCUUCAGAUAUUUAAAGACGGCUGUCCUAUCCUAUUCUUAGUCUCCAUGAUCACUGCAGAUGGUGACAGCAGCCACAAAAGUAAAAGACGCCUGCUUCUUGGGAGAGAAGCGAUGGCAAACCUAGACAGCAUCUUAAAAAGCAGAGACAUCACUUUGCCAACAAAGGUGCGUAUAGCUAAAGCUAUGGUUUUCCCAGUAGUGAUGUAUGGAAGUGAGAGCUGGACCAUAAAGAAGGCUGAUCGCCGAAGAAUUGAUUCUUUUGAAUUCUGGUGCUGGAGGAGACUCUUGAGAGUCCCAUGGACUGCAAGAAGAUCAAACCUCUCCAUUCUGAAGGAAAUCAGCCCUGAGCGCUCACUGGAAGGACAGAUCCUGAAGCUGAGGCUCCAAGACUUUGGCCACCUCAUGAGAAGAGAAGACUCCCUGGAAAAGACCCUAAUGUUGGGAAAGAUGGAGGGCACAAGGAGAAGGGGACGACAGAGGACGAGAUGGUGGGACAGUGUUCUCAAAGCUACCAGCAUAGAAUCAUAGAAUCAUAGAGUUGGAAGAGACCACAAGGGCCAUCGAGUCCAACCCCCUGCCAAGCAGGAAACACCAUCAGAGCACUCCUGACAUAUGGUUGUCAAGCCUCUGCUUAAAGACCUCCAAAGAAGGAGACUCCACCACACUCCUUGGCAGCAAAUUCCACUGUUGAACAGCUCUUACUGUCAGGAAGUUCUUCCUAAUGUUUAGGUGAAAUCUUCUUUCUUGUAGUUUGGAUCCAUUGCUCCGUGUCCGCUUCUCUGGAGCAGCAGAAAACAACCUUUCUCCCUCCUCUAUGUGACAUCCUUUUAUAUAUUUGAACAUGGCUAUCAUAUCACCCCUUAACCUCCUCUUCUCCAGGCUAAACAUGCCCAGCUCCCUUAGCCGUUCCUCAUAAGGCAUCGUUUCCAGGCCUUUGACCAUUUUGGUUGCCCUCCUCUGGACACGUUCCAGUUUGUCAGUGUCCUUCUUGAACUGUGGUGCCCAGAACUGGACACAGUACUCCAGGUGAGGUCUGACCAGAGCAGAAUACAGUGGCACUAUUACUUCCCUUGAUCUAGAUGCUAUACUCCUAUUGAUGCAGCCCAGAAUUGCAUUGGCUUUUUAGCUGCCGCGUCACACUGUUGGCUCAUGUCAAGUUUGUGGUCAACCAAGACUCCUAGAUCCUUUUCACAUGUACUGCUCUCAAGCCAGGUGUCACCCAUCUUGUAUUUGUGCCUCUCAUUUUUUUGCCCAAGUGCAAGACUUUACAUUUCUCCCUGUUAAAAUUCAUCUUGUUUGUUUUGGCCCAGUUCUCUAAUCUGUCAAGGUCGUUUUGAAGUGUGAUCCUGUCCUCUGGGGUGUUAGCCACCCCUCCCAGUUUGGUGUCAUCUGCAAAUUUGAUCAGGAUGCCCUUGAGUCCAUCAUCCAAGUCGUUGAUAAAGAUGUUGAAUAAGACCGGGCCCAAGACAGAACCCUGUGGCACCCCACUAGUCACUCUUCUCCAGGAUGAAGAGGAACCAUUGAUGAGCACCCUUUGGGUUUGGUCAGUCAGCCAGUUACAAAUCCACUGCGUGGUAGCAUAGUCAAGACCACAUUUUACCAGCUUCUUUACAAGAAUAUCAUGGGGCACCUUGUCAAAUGCCUUGCUGAAAUCAAGGUAGGCUACAUCCACUGCGUUCCCUUCAUCUACCAGGCUUGUAAUUCUGUCAAACGAGAUCAGGUUAGUCUGACAUGGCUUAUUUUUCAGAAAUCCAUGCUGACUAUUGGUGAUCACAGCAUUCCUUUCUAGGUGCUCACAGACUGUUUGCUUAAUGAUCUGCUCCAGAAUCUUCCCUGGUAUUGAUGUCAGACUGACUGGGCGGUAAUUAUUUGGGUCCUCUCUUUUCCCCUUUUUGAAAAUAGGGACAACAUUUGCCCUCCUCCAGUCUGCCGGGACUUCGCCUGUUCUCCAGGAAUUCUCAAAGAUGACUGCCAGUGGUUCUGAGAUCACAUCUGCCAGUUCUUUUAAUACUCUUGGAUGCAGUUCAUCUGGCCCUGGAGACUUGAAUACAUCUAAACUAGCCAAGUAUUCUUGUACUAUCUCCUUAGUUAUUCUGGGCUGUGUUUCCUCUGCUGAAUCAUUUGCUCCAAAUUCUUCAGGUCGGGCAUUGUUUUCUUUAUCGGAGAAGACUGAGGCAAAGAAAGCAUUGAGGAGUUCAGCCCUUUCUGUGUCCCCUGUUUGCAUUUCACCAUCUUCUCCUCUGAGUGACCCCACUGUUUCUUUGUUCUUCCUUUUGCUACGAACAUACCCAUAAAAACCUUUUUGUUGCUUUUAACCUCUCUAGCAAGCCUGAGUUCAUUCUGUGCUUUAGCUUUUCUGACUUUGUGUCUACACGUGCUGGCUAGUUGUUUGAAUUCCUCUUUGGUGGUGUCUCCCUUUUCCAUUUUUGUACACAUCCUUUUUAAUCUUAACUCAGUUAAAACUUCUUUAGAUAGCCACCCUGGCUUCUUUAGGCACCUUCCAUGUUUCCGUCUCAUUGGUAUUGCCUGAAGUUGUGCUUUUACUAUCUCCCUCUUAACAAACUCCCAGCCAUCAUGAACUCCCUUUCCUUUUAGUAUUACUGUCCAUGGGAUCUCACCCAGCACUUCCCUAAGUUUUAUGAAGUCGGCUUUCUUAAAGUCAAGAAAUUGAGUCCUAGUAUGCUUGGCUGCUCCUUUCCGCUGUAUAGUAAACUUCAGAAGAGCAUGAUCACUCGCGCCUAAUGAUCCUUCCACUUCUACCCCACUAACCAGGUCAUCAACAUUGGUUAGGACCAGAUCUAAAAUGGCUGUUCCUCUUGUUGCUUCUCCCACUUUCUGGACAAUGAACUUGUCUGCAAGGCCAGUGAGGAAUCUGUUUGACCUUAUGCUCUUGGCUGAGUUUGACAUCCAACAAAUAUCCGGGUAAUUGAAGUCCCCCAUUACUACUAUCUCCCUUCCUUUUGCAUGCUUGGCCAUCUGUUCCAGGAAGGCAUCAUCUAUGUCCUCCGUUUGGCUUGGGGAUCUAUUGUAAACUCCCACAAUGAGGUCACUGUUAUUCUUCUCUCCCUUGAUUUUGACCCAAAUGCUCUCACUUUGGCUUUGAGGUUCUAAAUCUUGGAUCUCUUCACAGGUAUACACAUCCCUGACAUAUAACGCCAUGAGUUUGACCAAACUGCGGGAGGCAGUGGAAGAGAGAAGUGCCUGGCGUGCUCUGGUCCAGGGGGUCACGAAGAGUCGGACACGACUAAAUGACUAAAUGACAGCAACAGCUGUCCUAUCCACCCUCUGUCUUCUCUUCUCCAGACUAAACAUUCCUCAUAUGUCUUGGUCUCCAGGCUCUCCGUUAUCUUGAGGACUCUCUUCUGCCUGUUCCAGCUUGUCAAUCUCCUUCUUUAACUGUGGCUCCCAGAAUGGGCCACACGACUCCAGCUGCGGAUUGAAAAGGACAGAAAUACUAUUCCCUUUGAUCUGGAUACUAGGCUUCUGUUGUCCUCUGCAGCACAUUUCCUACACUGGAUCCCUUGGCAUGAAUGAUUGGUGCUCUCCAUUUUCAUGGCAAGUGUGUAGGACAUGCUCUGCAGUUUCCUUUGUACUUUUUAAUGUUUUAGAUAUGCUGUAAGCCUUCCAGAGUGGCUGGGGAAACCCAGACAGAUGGGUGAGCUAUAAAUAAUAAAAUUGUUGUUGUUCCACGAUAGAAUUCAAGAUGGCCUCCAGGAUUACUUAAACUAAAAAGCUUAAACUAGCCUAUCUAAGGUUCUCUUUUAAGAUGCAAAGGGAUGUACUUUGACAAACUCACAAACAUGAGGAAAGGAUAAUAAUUGCUAAUAAAUAUCUCCUCUCCUGGCAUCUAUUCACAUCCUUACAUACCCACCCACAUUUUCACAGUCUGGGGGUUCCUGAAACGGUAAAUGGCAAGCUCUCCAAACACACUGUAGGGCUAAAUCCAGGCUAAAUGCGCCAGUUUCCUAUUAUGAGUCACAGAAAAGCAAUCCUUGCCUUGUGAUUCUCUAUCGAGCGUUCGGCUGCCCUGACUGUGGGACUCAGCUGAGGACAGGGCUUGAAACGGACCCAAAUUCUGACAAAUGAGUGAGCGCUUUAAAUGAAACCCAGAUUGACGGUUGUUUUGGAGAUGCCUUCGUGGUGUUUUGGGGGCGGCUGGCUUCCCGUUUUAGUACAUCUGGAGCUGACCGAGGCCUGUGAAUUCCGCUCGCCCUGCCUUGCGCAACUCAAAGUAAUCUCAGAGUCGGCCAAAGGAAAUGACUCCAAGGCGGCUUUGGUGACCUCUGUUUGGAGAAGAGAUUGGCAUCCUCUGUUUGGACUCUGGGUCUUGUAAGGCAUUGUCACCGGAGGCUGAAGUCACCACCUUUGUGUCCUUUUCACCUCUGAGUCAGCUCACCAGAUCCCCAACCCCAUGGGAGAAGAUCAGUGUUUGCCAGUUUACAAAGAAAGGAGGAGAUGAGGGCAUUUCCUGCUUCGUGAAGCAUUUGGAGAUGUGAGGAAGACGCGGAAGGAGACUCCUUUGAGCUGAGCCACACAGCCACCCCUUAUUCCACACCAGAUAAGAAUGGAAGGUCAUCCUAGAGGAAUCUGCUGCAUCAGGCCAGGGGCCUAUCUGGUUCAGCAGCCUGUUCUCACAUUGGUUGACCAGAUGCCAGUGGGAAACCUCAGGCAGGAUUUGAGCACAAGCACAAAAAAAUGCAAGGGACACGGGUGGCGCUGUGGGUUAAACCACAGAGCCUAGGACUUGCCCAUCAGAAGGUCGGCAAGUAGAUAAAUAGGUACCGCUCCAGUGGGAAGGUAAACGGCAUUUCCGUGCGCUGCUCUGGUUCGCCAGAAGCGGCUUAGUCCUGCUGGCCACAUGACCCGGAAGCUGUACGCCGGCUCCCUCGGCCAGUAAAGCGAGAUGAGCCCCGCAACCUUAGAGUCAUCUGCGACUGGACCUAAUGGUCAGGCUGCAUCAAUAGGUGUCUAGUGUCCAGAUCAAGGGAAAUCAUAAUACUGCUCUACUCCACCAUCUUCAGACCAAGCCUGGAGUCCUGUGUCCACUUCUGGGCACCACAAGGAUGUCAACAAGCUAGAAAGUGUGCAGGGCAGGGGGAGCAACCAGGAUGAUCAAGGGCCUGGUGAGGAAUGGUUGAGGGAGUUGGGCAUGUUUGGCCUGAAGGAAACUAAGUGGUGAUAUGAUAACCAUCUUCAAAUAUCAAAAAGGCUGCCACGUGAAACAUGGAGCAAGCUUGUUUUAUUUAUUUCCAAUAACCCCCUAAUUUUUUUUGCUGCUAGAGAGCAGGACCCAAACCAAUGGAUUCAAAUGACAAGAAAAUAGAUUCUGACUAAACAUUAGGAAGAGCUUUCUGAUGGUUGGAGCUGCUCGAUGGUGCAACGGACUCCCUCAGAAGGUGAUGGACUCUCCUUCCUUGGAGGUUCUUAAAUAUAGAUUGGAUGAUCAUCUGUCAGGGAUGCUUCCACUGGGAUUCCUGCUUUGCAGGGGGUUGGAGCAGAUGCGCCUCUAGUUUCCUUCGCACGUUACAAGUCUAUGAUUCUAUGAAAUGGGAUUAGGCCAAGUCAUGUAGGAUGAACCUCUCAAUGACCAUAAUGGCCCCGGCAACAGAGGCACCAUAUCUCUGAAUACCAGUCCCUUGCAACCAACGAAGGGAAGCAGCAUUGACGCACAUGGCAGGGGUGGACUUUGAUAAUAUGGCUCCCUGAAUGUGGACAAAAUUUGGCGCCCCUCCCUUAAAUAUUUCUUAUUUUCACACUAUAGUCAUACCUUGGAUCCCGAAUGCCUUGGUACUCAGACAUUUUGGCUUCCAAACGCCACAAACCCGGAAGUGAGUGUUCUGGUUUGCGAACGUUCUUUGGAACCUGAAUGUCCGGAGGGGCUUCCAUGACUUUUGAUUGGCUGCAGGAGCUUCCUGCAGCCAAUCAGAAGCCACACUUUGGUUUCUGAAUGUUUUGGAAGUGGAACAAGACUUCCGGAACGGAUUCCAUUUGACUUCCAAGGUAUGACUGUAGUUUAUUUUGACACAGUUGUUUUUUAUAUAUCUUAUACCACGAGAAUGUUGUUGUUGUUGUUGUUGUUGUUGUUGUUGUUGUUGUUGUUUUGCAGCCCCUUGGCUCAGCACCCUGUGUGGGAGAACUACCCAUGCCACUCGAAAUCUGGUGCUGCACAUGGAUUUCUUAUGGGCUUCACACAGACACCUGCUUGCCCACUAUGGCAAACUGGAUGCUGGACUCAGUUGUCUUCCAACUGUGGGAUCCUCUGAUACCAAGAAAGGUGCUCUCAACGUCUUCCUUGAGCUGCAAUCCCACACAUUUUGCAGAUUUCCAGAUUUCUAAUGAAAUUGCAGUUGUAGGACUAUGUACAAGGACUGGUAUGCACAUGUGCUGGGAUUUUGCAUAGCUGCCUAAUAAGGAAUUCCAUAGACCCAUUGCAUCAGUCUAGCUUCUGCCAACCUUCUGUCUGGCAUGUUUUGUCAUGCCUGCAGAUUGCAAACAGAUCCUUCUACUUAGAUAAUGUUCAUCAGAAGAAAGCCCCUAACUGUUUCUUGAGUUCUUUUUGGAGAAUUCGUACGGCAUCUUUUCCAUUUCUUGGGAAAAUAGAUUCCUAACUAAUGCGCCAGCUAGAGCUAUACACAUAAUUUGACCGAGUCCCUGAUCCUGAGACAGAUCAGGCCUAGGAGGAGGGAUCGGGGCCUUGCUCAAGUUGGGGUGAGAAAACUCUGGAUUGUUCGAAGUUGAGUGGUCCAGACACAUCAAGGCCAUGGGGCAGGGAAGAGAGGCAAGCACAAGUGAGAAAGCUGAGAGACCACAUGAAGGAGAGACCUACCAGGUGGUUGCAACUUAACCUCAGAAGAGCCUGCUGGAUCAGGCCAUUGACCCACCAAGUCCAUCAUCCUGUUCUCAUGGUGGCCAACCAGAUGCCCAUUUUCGGAAAAACAAAAGAAUAUAAGAAGAGCCCAAUGGCUUCUCUCGUUCAGCAUCCUGUUCUCAUGGUGGCCAACAGGCAAGACACAUGGGCACAACUCUCCCACGUAUGAACCUCCCCUGUCUCCAACCAUGGAUGCAGUAUAUCUUUCAUGCCUCAAUCUUUCAGUCCCUACACUUUGGAACUACCUGCCUUAUGUAGGGAUAUCGCGGAGUGGGCAGUGGGGUCCGGAGGGAGCACACUCCCCACCAGCAGGCAGCCACAAUCUGCCUGCACGCGUGACCCUGGGGUGCAGGGCACAUCCCCCCCAGACAGGCCACAGCUGUCUGAACAUCGUUCCCUCUGUCUGACCUUUUGCGGUCUCAGCAGUCUGUGGUGUCCUGUCUGUAAGCUUUGUCCCUGAGACCUUUUGUCUCCUUCGUCAUACACUGUGCAAGGGGAAAAUGACGUGGUGGUAACAGGUGCCAAAAUAACUUUGUACUACCCCUCGACCUCGGGACUGGAAGAUGUGUAAAGGUCACAGCCCAAAAUGUAUUUGCCUGGCUUGCAUAUUUGUCUCAAUAAAAGGAGGCUCCACAGGACUGGUCAGCAGCUCGCAUGCAGCCCACCUGUGCGCAGCUCACAUGAUGAUCAACACCUGUCUUGUGCCUUCACUUCAGCCUUAAAAGCUCUUUUCACACAAGGUCUGCUUCAGUUACCUGGCGCAAGAAGAUCUUUUGAACUCUCUGCCUCUGUGUUUCUAAGGGGAUGAUUUGAAUGGACAUGAUUUUGCAUAUAUGUGGGACCCUUGGAAGCAAACCCCCGCAAGAGAAGCCACCGUUAUUGAGAAGAAGUGUUCUUAUGCUCAGUAAUGAUCACAUGACCUAAGAGAAUGCAUUCGUUGCAGGAAAUAUGGUGAUGAUAAUGAGCCGAAUGGUUGCAAGCAGAAGAAUCUGCCUAUAGCCAUAUAUAGAUAUAUAUUCAGAAUGAUUGGGCAAGACAACACAUGGCUGGAGAAACCUAUUGGCUGUAGGCAGUUCUUUUCUGGAUGUUUCGUAGAGAAGCUGCAUGAAAGCAGUCAUCUUCCAUCCAUCUGCUGCCUCCUGGAAGGCUUCCCUCAGGUUCAUGAACUUCCUGCAUGCCUCCACAGAAUGGGUCACUGUGCACACACAGACAGCUUGCUCACAGAUGAUUCCACGAACUCUGGCUGGAUUCCUGGACUCUUCCACUUUUACAACCUUGUUUAUCAAUGAGCUACACAGAUGAGCGCCAGUCAGCGCCUCCCCUACACACAAUGUUUUCCUUGCACAGAGGCAAUUUCUUGCAAAUCUUCUCUUCUGCCUGGGCAUGCCUGGAGCAUCAGGCCUGCAGUCCUCUCUGCUUGCUUACCUGGGAGUAGGGGAGGGAAGAGAAAUUUGGCAUGGCAUUUAAAGUUGUACCCAUACCUAAUUCGCAUUUCAUGAAAAAUUGCACGAACCGAAACGCAGCCACCCUUUGAAAUUUGCCUUCUCCGAAUUCUGCAACGCAUAUCUCCAGUAAUGUGCACAAAAUUAUGUGCAUAUAGUAUGGUAAGGUGUGUGAAUAAUUGCAGGUAUUAGUAACAUAACAUGCUAAAAUGCAUUAUAUUAGGGCAUAUUGCGUUGUAAAAAUAUGUGCAGAAGUUCACAUUGAGGUGGGUGCCCUCUGUCCUGGAUGCUUCAGCUGAGAUUCCUGCCUUGCAGGAGGUUAGGCUACAUAACCUUUUAGUCCCUUCCAAUUCUACAAUUCUAUGAUUCUGUGACAUGGAGAUGAAUUUUCAUGGAAAUCAUUUUUUGGCCGGAAAACUACAUUGCAAAAUUCAGGUGAAUUUUCAAGGCUGGCCAAGUUUCAGUUCUUGUCUCAUUUCAGGAACUACAAGUUUUGUCAAAUCAACAGAAUUGAACCGAAGGUCUUCUCCAUCUCUAAUCAUGAAUAUCUCACCCCAUUGAGUUCACUGGAAGUGCAGUUCAGUUCACAUGGUCUGGACUCAGGCCAUGACUUUAGGGUUAAAAAGGUAAAAGACCCCUGACAGUUAAGUCCAGUUGCGAACGACUCUGGGGUUGCAGCCCUCAUCUCGCAUUAUUGGCCGAGGGAGCCGAUGUUUGUCCACAGAUGUUUUUUCCAGGUCAUGUGGCCAGCAUGACUAAGCCACGUCUGGCGAACCAGAGCAGCGCACGGAAACGCCGUUUACCUCCCCGCCAGAGCGGUGCCUAUUUAUCUCCUUGCACUUUGAUGUGCUUUCGAACUGCUAGGUUGGCAGGAGCAGGGACCAAACAACGGGAGCUCACCCCGUUGUGGGGAUUUGAACCGCCAACCUUCUGAUCGGCAAGCCCUAGGCUCUGUGGUUUAACCCACAGCGCCACCUGCAUCCCCCUUAUCUUCUUAUAUUAUACUAAAUGGCCAACUGUCAAGGAUUCCUUAGCUGUGAUUCUUGCAUUGUAGGGGCUUGAGCUCGUUGACUCUUGGGAAUUCCUUCCAACUCUAGAAUUCUCGGAUUCUAUGAUACAUGCAGCACCUGCUUGCGCCAUUGGCAAGACCAGAGCAAUGGACACAAACCUUUAACCUUGACGACCUGCGCUAAGAUCGAAGGGGGUUUCUUUUGCUUCCACGCAGCGACUAUUUUCGACUGAAAUUGUUUCUACGCCGUACAGCGAAAACCCCCAUUUCCCAGAAACGCUUCUGGGCGGAAAAGUCUUUUCAGAGCCAGGUUGAUUUUCAACACACACACACACACACACAGAGAGAGAGAGAGAGAGAGAGAGAGAGAGAAUUUAGCCAGGCCAUUGGAACCAGAAGGAUUUGGGGAGGGUUGGUGGAGGGGUUGAAUGUCAAGGGGUGGAAAUGACCUUUGUGCAUGGCAACCCUCCAGAGCCACUCUGACCGGUGGAGACACAGAGAGGCAAUGUCUUGUGAACCGAGGGAGGCGAGCUUCACUGAGCCUGUUUUCAUCCAAACUAUCUUGGUGGCACUGAGUUUUGGCCGUGAUCUGCGCCCGGGAUUUAGUUCAUGAGACACCGAGGCACCAGGAAACAGUUUGGAAAGAACCUUUUUCUUUUCCCCCCUCAAAGGUAUUUUUUUUCUAUUAAGCCAAAGGAUGGAAACAAAUUAUUUUCUGAAACCGGGAACCCUUUCAGUGUUAUUUCUGGCACUCGGCUCCUUUCCAAGUCAAUUCCCUUUCAAGGUGGAAAAAGUCAAUUCUUGGAGGUUUCGUAACAAGCUCUGGGGACUGGAAGGUUUGCGGUCGCAGAGGACAAGGAGGCUGGAUGGGCGCGAUUCACCGAACAAGUUAGAAUGACAAGGGAGAAAGAAGUAAACUCAAACUGGAUCGGUAGUAUUAAGAGCAACAACAAGGGUUGAAAGGGGGUCAUGGGGGGUUACCCCCUCUUUGUCAAUGUCAAGGAGUCUAAAUAAUAAUAAUAAUAAUAAAAUUUUAUUUAUACCCCGCCAUUCCUGGUUUAAAAACUGGGUUCAGGGCGGCUAACAGCAAAUAUAAAACAUUGAUUAAAAUGUGACUUAAAAACAGCAUAAAAUACAACAUAAAAUGCAGCAUCAAUAUCAAUAAAAUUCAAAAAUUCAGGGGUCAUGGGGGGCGGGAAACCCAGUCAGUAGACAUCAAGUGAUCACCAAGGCUAACUGGCCAAGCUGGUCCUACUAGGGCCAGCGAGGAGACCAGGGAAGAAUUUAAAUGUGGGGUCCCAGAAAGGGUUUCUUCCUAGAAGGGGAAAGGGAAAAGGGAAUAGAGGAUCAGGCUAAUUCAAAUUGAAGGCCAGGCGGAAUAGCUCUGUCUUACAGGCCCUGCGGAACGAGAUCAAGUCCUGUAGGGCCCUAGUCUCCCCAUGUCCUAAAUCUGUUGGUUCAGGUUUUAUUCAGGGGGUAGAACCUGAAACAACGGAUUCCAAAGGCAAGAAAGGAGAUUUUGACUAAACAUCAGGAAGAACUUUCUGAGGAUAAGAGCUGUUCAACCGGGGAACAGACUUUCUUGGAGGUUUUUAAGUUGGGUGGCCAUUUGUCAGGAUGCUUGAGCUGAGAUUCCUGCACUGCAGAGGGUCAGACUAGAGAACCCCUGUUGGCCCUUACAACUCUACGAUUUUAUCAUUCUAAAUCUCAGUUAUCCAUCUGUAAACUGGAAAUAAUCAUAACUUGCUUUGAAGGUUUGGUUUUGCUUGCUUUGUUUUUAAAGCAAACACUCCAAAACCCAGAAAGAAAGCCAUUCUUUCUGUGGAAAUGAUUAACUGCUUUUGGAAGAAGCCUUCUCGGUUACCUCCAGACAGGACAAAUGUGAUAAACGCCAUCAGAUGUGUAAAAAGAAAAAAAAGCGCCAUAUAAUUGACUGGUUGGCACCGCACUCGGGCGUAGCACUCUGGGAGGAAGGCGCUUAAGAAUCGCUAAGGUGUGGCCGAAGCGAAACACAAAUUCCCUCCCGCCCCACGGCCUGCUUUCCUGAGAUGAUGGAAAGAUUUGUGUCAGCUCUGGUUUGGAAGCCGCCGUAAGCCAUCCAUGGCUGCGCAAAGUGCUCUUGGCUCCGGCCGUGAUGUGGUGAGCUCUGGUGAGGCCGGAUCAGUGCCGCGGCAGAGUCGGGGGGCUCUUGAGCAAAGGAGAAACGAGGUGAGAGGAGUCAGCAGGAGCCUUCCGAGCGGAGGGGGGACGCUUCGCUGAGCGCAACUCUGAAGGAGUAACUGGAAACAAUUUAGUCUCGUCGAGGGACCUCCAGCCUCCGCCAGAUCGGCAGCUCUGGGCAAAAGUCCAGGAUCCCGCAUAAUGGGAAACAGCAGCAACUGAUAAGCAAAAGUGAUCAUGCUAAUGAUGAUAGGAACAAUAGGGGGAGGCUUGGAGAGCUACUGCUCUGGCAGGCUCCAGCUCCUGGGAGCGACGGCAAAAGCCUCACGCUCUGCAGCUCCUCCACCAAGACGCUGAUGGAUGCUGGCAGGCAGGCCCAAAGUGGACCAUGGGAAUGGCUAACAUGGGAUUCCGAAGGUCCCUGCAUGGAGAGAGGUGAGGACGCCGUCUUGGGGUAUCAGCUGGAGGACACCAGCGGUUCUCAACCUGGCGCUCUCCGGAUAUUGUCCGACCACAACUCCCAUCAGUCCCACCCAGCCAAAAAGGCGAGGAAGAGACGACAUGGUGGAAGCUUCUAAAAUGAUGCCUGGAGAAAGAGGAUAGAGAGAUUUUUUUCUCCCCUCUCUCCUAAUUUUAGAACUCGGGGACAUCCAGGGAAGCUCCGUGUUGGACUGAUAAAAGGAAAUAGCUUCUCCAGGCAGCGCUGAGUUAAUCUAUGGAACUCACUCCCCCUGGAGACAGGGAUGGCUCCCAGCUUAGAUGGCUUUAAAAGUGGAUUAGGCUAAUAAUAAUAAUAAUAACAAUUAUUAUUAUUAUUAUUAUUAUUAUUAUUAUUAUUAUUAAUACCCUGCUGAUCUGGUUGGGUUUCCCCAGCCACUCUGGGCAGCGCCCAACAGAAAAUUAAAAUAAAAUAGUCUAUUAAACAUUAAAUGCUUUCCUAAACAGGGCUGCCUUCAGAUGUCUUCUAAAAGUCUGGUAGUUGUUUUUCUCUUUGACAUCUGCUGGGAGGGCGUUCCAUAGGGUGGGUGCCACUACUAAGAAGGCCCUCUGCCUAGUUCCCUGUAACUUGGCCUCUCACAUUGAGGGAACCAUGAGAAGGCCCUCGGCGCUGGACUUCAGUGUCCGGGCAGAACGAUGGGGGUGGAGAUGCUCCUUCAGGUAUACUCUGGUUUCCAGAGCUUUGAUCAUCUUGGCUGCCCUCUUCUCCACACCUUACAGCUUGUCAACAUCCUUCUUGAAUUGUGGUGUCCAGAACCAGACACAGCACUCCAGGUGUGGUCUGACCAUGGCAGAAUACAGUGGGACUAUGACUUCCCUUGACCUGGACACUAGACUUCCAUAUUCACAUUUGUUGCUCUGGCCCCUGGCAUUUCAUAGAAUCAUAGAAUCAUAGAGUUGGAAGAGACCACAAGGGCCAUCGAGUCCAACCCCCUGCCAAGCAGGAAACACCAUCAGAGCACUCCUGACAUAUGGUUGUCAAGCCUCUGCUUAAAGACCUCCAAAGAAGGAGACUCCACCACACUCCUUGGCAGCAAAUUCCACUGUCAAACAGCUCUCACUGUCAGGAAGUUCUUCCUAAUGUUUAGGUGGAAUCUUCUUUCUUGUAGUUUGGAUCCAUUGCUCUGUGUCCGCUUCUCUGGAGCAGCAGAAAACAACCUUUCCCCCUCCUCUAUAUGACAUCCUUUUAUAUAUUUGAACAUGGCUAUCAUAUCACCCCUUAACCUCCUCUUCUCCAGGCUUAGGAGGACUACCCAGAAGAGAAUGUGGCCCUUGGGUUGAAAAGGUCCCCCACCCCAAAUCAACAGUUGCAGAACCACUAGGAAAGAAUCAUAUCAUGCCUUUCCUGUAUAAGGGCAAUUGACCUCAUUCUUUGAUGAGGAGGAGGCCCCACUCCCAGACAUGGCAGAGAUAAUGCUCUUGGAUCCUGGAGUCUUUCUCGGUCUCUCCUAUCAAUGGGCCUGAUAUGUGGGACUGCUCCCAAGGGGCCGAGUUUGGGGUGACUUCAUCUGUUAUCCUUAGAGCUGCACAGCUUGCUACAACCGGGUUUGGCUCUCAGAUCUCCUUCCCUGUUCGCGAUUAGAACUAUUUUCUUUAGCAAAGACUUUAGUGGUCAAUGUGGGUUCAUUUUUCUUACCCUUUAAUCGAGGUUACUUGAUGAAUGCAUGCAGUAAUCUCUUCCUUGAGUUCCUGGACAUAAAUCACUCGCUAACGAGAAUUUGUGGCACAAGAACAGAGGAGCCCACAAGGCAAUGAUGGAAUCGACCAGUGGGGAUGUGUUGUGUGUGUGUUGUGUGUGUGUGUGUGUGUGUUUCUAAAGGGACUAUGGGGAUCAGGCUGGGCCGGUUCCACACUGAUAACUCACAACAUAACAAAAAAUGUUGGGUUGUGCUUUUCCACUCACACACCCCGCCUUUCUUUCUUUCUUUUUUUGUCUCAGAAAUUGUAGGGUAAUGAUUAGUCCAUAUGCACAAGAUAGAAAACAAACUAUUUCCAUUUUAGAACGUGCCGGUGGCUUAUGCAGGAGGGUCAUUGAUAUAGAACUUGCUCCCCAACACUCUCCUUGUGAGCCACGGGUGGAUGAAAUGGACAUUUUGACAUCUUCCACAGUUUUCGGUUGAGAGAAAAGGCAGAUCAGAGGUGGCGUGAUGGACGUUUGCAAAAUUAUGCCUGGCGUAGAGAAAGCAGAUAGAGACAAGUUCCUCUCCCUCUUCCCUAACAGUAGAACUUGUGGACAUGCAAGGAAGCUGAACGUUAGGAGAUUCAGGACAGAUAAAAUAAAGUCCUUCUUCACACAGCACAAAGCCAAACCAUGGAACUGCCUGUCACAGGAGACAGUGAUGGCCACCGACUGGGAUGGCUUUAAUAUAAUAUAUAAUAAUAAUUUAUUCUGUAUACCCUGCCCAUCUGGCUGGGAUUCCCAAGCCACUCUGGGCGGUUCCCAAUAAAUGCUAAAAACAAUACAGCAUUAAAAACUUCCCCAAACAGGGCUGCCUUCAGAUGUCUUUUAAAGAUAAGAUAGCUGCUUAUUUCCUUGACAUCUGGUGGGAGGGCGUUCCACAGGGUGGGUGCCACUACUGAGAAGGCCCUCUGCCGGACCUCAGUGUCUGGGCUGAACGAUGGGGGUGGAGUCGCUCCUUCAGGUAUACUGGACCGAGACCGUUUAGGGCUUUAAAGGUCAGUACCAACACUCUGAAUUGUGCUCGGAAACAUACUGGGAGCCAAUGUAGAUCUCUCAGGACCGGUGUUAUGUGGUCCUGGUGGCCACUCCCAGUCACCAGUCUAGCUGCCGCAUUCUGGAUUAAUUGCAGUUUCUGGGUCACCUUCAAAGGUAGCCCCACGUAGCGCGCAUUGCAGUAGUCCAAGCGGGAGUUAACCAGAGCAUGCACCACUCUGGCGGGACAGUCCGCGGGCAGGGAGGGUCUCAGCCUGCGUAUCAGAUGGAGCUGGUAGACAGCUGCCCUGGACACAGAAUUGACCUGUACCUCCAUGGACAGCUGUGAGUCCGAAAUGAUUGUGCACCUGGUCCUUCAGGGGCACAGUUACCCCAUUCAGGACCAGGGAGUCCUCCACACCAGCCCAUCCCCCGUCCCCCUAAGACAGUACCUCUGUUUACUUUAAAAGACAAGUAGACAGACUCAUGGAGGAGGAGGAGAGGGUUAUUGAUGGCUACAAGCUAUGAUGGCUCUGCUCUGCCUCCACAACUGGAGUCAGCUAUGCUUCUGAACACCAAUUGCUGGAAACCACAGGAGGCGAGAGGGCUCUUGUGCUCAGCUCCAGCUUGUGGGCUUCCUACUGAGGCAUCUGGAUGAGUCCCCCUUCUCAUGAUUUUAUGAAGCCUCAAAGAUGCUUUCCUCUGACCCACCAAGCUCCAGCCAAAGCAAAGCUCCGGCUUUCACACUUCUUUAGAAGGGAACUUGGAUGGUGUGACUGUAUGCAUGCUUUUCCAAAGGAUAUUUACACCAUGCUCCCUGGGCCUUACUCACUGGUAGCAUGCAGAGGGUUGCAGAAUCGAGGUAUAUAUGUGAGUCUUACGGUGCCUAUAACCCAGUGCAGAACAUGACCACUUAUAUAUUUGGUGUGGAGAACAUGCUCAAGGGCAAGCUUUUCCACCCAAAGAAGCUGAAUUUUGGAAGAUUCAAGAAAGGCAAAAGAAAGCACUUCUUUACACAGCGCAUAGUUAAACUAUGGAGUUCACUCCCUCAAGGGGUUGAGAUACCCACCAGCUUGGAUGUCUUUAAAAGAAGGUUAGACAAACUCAUGGAAGAUGAGGCUAUCACAAUGGCUUUUGCACUACAGGACUGUCCCUUAUUGAGUUUCUAUCAUUUGGGAAACCGAGGGCAAAUGUGUGUGUGUGUGUGUUUGUGUGUGUGUGUGUGAUUUUCAGAACUAGUGUGUGUUUUGGUGUUUCCUUUGGUGUGUGUGUGUCUAAAGGUAAACUUCAUCUCCAGUUGCCCUGCCUGAAUUAAGACUACACAAGGCAAGCUUUCAAAAACUACUGAAUUGGUUUGGCGCACAGCCAGCUCUUGAUUCUUGAAAUAUGGCUGUCCAGGGGAUCAUAUAGUUGGAAGGGCCUCAUUGAUCCCCUCACCCAUCCCCAGCCAAAGGAAGGAUGGGCACUCUAUUCCUCCAACAUUCCCAGGCUGCCAUUCUAAGGAUGGAGGUUCCUCACUUAUCUUAUCCAUUUAGAAGACUUGUAUCUUGCUUUUCUUGUAGGGAGGCAAAGUGGGCUAGAAUAAAUACUGUAAUUAAGGCUGCAGUCCUGCAUAGCAAAUUACCUGGGAGUAAGUAACAUAUGGUGAUGUAUGGAAGUGAGAGCUGGACCAUAAAGAAGGCUGAUCACCAAAGAAUUAAUGCUUUUGAAUUAUGGUGCUGGAGGAGACUCUUGAGAGUCCCAUGGACUGCAAGAGAUCAUACCUCUCCAUUCUGAAGGAAAUCAGCCCUGAGUGCUCACUGGAAGGACAGAUCCUGAAGCUGAGGCUCCAAGACUUUGGCCACCUCAGGAGAAGAGAAGACUCCCUGGAAAAGACCCUGAUGUUGGGAAAGAUGGAGGGCACAAGGAGAAGGGGACGACAGAAGACGAGAUGGCUGGACAGUGUUCUCAAAGCUACCAGCAUGAGUUUGACCAAACUGCGGGAGGCAGUGGAAGACAGGAGUGCCUGGUGUGCUCUGAUACAUGAGGUCAGGAAGAGUCGGACACGACUAAACGACUAAACAACAACAAAGUGACAUUGAACUCAGUGAGAGUGACAUCUGAAGCAGACAAAUUUAGGAUUCUUUUGUAAGGAAUUUGUGGUGUAAAUAGAAACUUUGAAGCUGCUUUUUGUCAGUACCUUUCACAUAUAGAGAAUUAUAUAUAGGGAAUUAGCUACAUCAGUUGCCUCCAACCUGAUGGCCCUCAAGAUGAUUAUCAGUUCCUAAAAUUUUUUGUCUGGCUGGGACUGAUGGGAGUUGUAGACCAGGUUGAGGAGAGCUGGUCAACCUCUGUUGAUUCCUCAAGAUGGAGUCCUUACCUUUCUCCAUAUAGUGACCCACCACUUGGUCCAGCCUCCAGGUGGGGCCCUUCCACCCUGUUCCUCAUUUCCCAUGCUUUUAAUGAAUGACCACAAUGCCCAUUAGGAGCAUCACGAGUGAUAUUAUCUCCACUGCCAUCACGGUCAACACACUAUAUCACAAGAGCCAGUCCGGCAUUGUGGUCAGCGUGCUGACCUAGGACCCAGGAGACUAGGACUUGGCCACAAAGCUCACUGGUGUGACCCACCUCGCAGGGUUACUUUGGGGAUUAAAUGAGUAGGGAGAAACAUGUACGCCACCUCAAGCUCCUUGGGGGAGAAAAAAGUGGGCUAGAAAUGCAGGGAAUAAAUAAAUAACAUUUUAUAGUCUCUGCUGUGUCUGUCAAGGGACUCUCACCCCUGGUUGAAAACAAGUGCAUGACCCUUUCUGAACUUCUGGCAGUUCCAGCUGUUUUUGCUUUUGUGCAGAAUUUAUUUGGUGACGAAGAGGUUCUUUUCUGCAGAGAUGAGGAGCCUGUGGUCCUCCAGAUGUUCUUGGACUCCAGCUCCCAUCAGCGCCAGCCAGAAUGGUUGGUGGUCAGAGAUGAUGGGCGCUGGCGUAUAGAAACAUCUGCUCCCCACCCUUGAUUUCUGGCUUCGCUCGUCUUCUUCCACACAAAACCUGGCUGUUAUCUGCCCCCACCCCACCCCGCCCUCGGGUCCCCUGCUCUCACUUCCCUCUUCCUCCAGUUCCCUUGCAUGCUUGUAUUUCGAAAUUUACAAAUGGAGUGCGAGCCUGAAUUCCCCCCCCCCCCAGAUUUAUAGACUUUUGAAGAGAACAUUUGUUCCAUUCCUACCCAUGUGUGUUUCAUUAUAAAACAAGUUCAAGCAACCAAAUCAUGAAAAGGAGAGGCAAGAAAAAAUAUAUCCAUUCAAUGAAAACUUGGGCCUAAGAUCCUGAAGAUUUACUUGCAAGUAAAUCUGUUUGCACUUCAGACCUAGAUUCGCAUGGGACUGGGGCCUUGAUCCUUCUGCUCUUGGCGCUUGGUGGAGCUCUCCCACCACCAACCCCUGGAGUGCUCUUUCCAUUUCCUGUUCCUCUCCUUCUACAUCCUGAAUCAUUCUCCUGGAAGGGCUGUCCCUCUCUCUCGGUGGUUUGGUGCCAAGGAGAGCAACAGUGCAGGGCAGCAAGUAAAUAGUUUGGAAGUUUGCGGUGAAAGAGAAGGCCAUAUUUAUUGUGGAGGGCUCAAAGAAAAAAUGUGUCAAAAGGCAGACCGGGUUCCCACACAAGCGUUCCUUGUUUGUCCACAGAGGACCAUGAUUAGAAACAUACAAGUUGGACGCAGCAGCUCAGAAUCUUGGAGAAGUUCCUUCGACGGAUGUUCUGGCAAGCGAGAAUUGCUUGGCAUGGUCCUGGCAGAGCUUCCAAGGUUCAGGAAAUGAUGUUGAGCAGAAAAACGCCAUGGAGGAUAAUCAUCCGCCGAGGGGAGGGGCGGGGGCGCCAAGGACGGCUGGAAAGGACUUCCGCCCCCAGACAAAAGCUUGGAAAGGAAUGGGAAAUUGCUGCAGCUCUGAAAAAUAUUGGUGGGGGAAGUAUGCAUUGACCCCAGGAUGCAUUUAGGACCCCAGUUUGGUGUUUUGGAAAGAAAGAAAGAAAGAAAGAAAGAAAGAAAGAAAGAAAGAAAGAAAGAAAGAAAGAUGAAUUGGCUCAGAGGGUUCACGUCCACUUCAUUCCCCACUCCCAUUCAUGAUUGGGACAUCAAAAAAAGUGCUAUAACUCCCCCCCCUCUUUUUAACAGAAAUGGAUAAAAUUUGCAGGCAGUGUAGCAUCUCCAGAGUGCAUAGAGCCUGCCAAAUUGUAAAUAUGCUUCCUUGCUUGCUUGCUGGUUGGUUGGUUUAAUUUAAUCCCAAUUUUUUCCCUCCGGGCUGCUUACAUGGUUCUUUCUCUCCUCAUUUAAUCUGCACAGUGACCCUGUGAAGUAGGCUAGGCUCAGAGGCAGUGGCUGCCCCCCCCCCCCGAGGUCACACCCUGGGAACUUCAUGUCUGAAGUGAAGAAUAUCUCUUUAAAAGCCGGUUUUAAAUCUGCUAAAUAAAGAAGCGUGUUCCGCAAAUACAGUCCUAAACCUGUUUGCUCAGAAGCAAAUCCCUUUCAGUAGGGAUUGCACCCAAGUAACUAUGCAAAACAAAACAAAACAAAACUUGAAAAAUAUUAUUAUUAUUAUCAUCAUUAUUAUUAUUUCUUAUACCCCACCUAUUUGACUAGUUUACCCUAGCCACUUUGGGCGGCUUCCAAUGAAAAUGAAGGAACAAGAACAAGAAGCAGAACAGCACAACAGCAACAGUGGUGACAGCAGUAGCAGCAGCAGCAACAACAACAUCUAACAUUAAAAGCUUCCCGAAAUAGGGCUGCUUUCAGAAGUCUACCAAAGAAUUAUAUAGUUGUUUAAUUCUUUGACAUCUGCCAGGAGGUCAAUCCACAGGGCGGGUGCAAGUAACUGAGUUGUGUGGUUUCUGACAGUUUGUACAGUUGCCUUUGUAUAGUUCCUUCCAUUGCCUUUCCUAUUGCUUUUAAAUAAUAAUAAUAAUAAUAAUAAUAAUAAUAAUAAUAAUAAUAAUUUAUUACUUACACCCCACCCACCUGGCUGGGUUUCCCCAGCCACUCUGGGAGGCUUCCAACUGAAUAUUGAAAACAAUACAGCAAUACCUUCUGUUCUGAGCCACAAUACUCCCCGAUGAAGAAUGGUCGCAGCAUUUGGGAUUUUUCGAUUUAGAGAAAAGCUGAGUAAGUGGGGGGGGGGGACGCGGCAGAAGUUUAUAGAAAUUAUGCACAGUGUAGAGAAAGUGGAUAGCAAAAAAGUUUUCCUUCCUCUCUCGUAACACUGGAACUCGUGGCCAUCCCACGAAGGGAAGAUUCAGGACAGAAACACUUCACGCAGUGCAGAGAGUUAAUCUGUGGAACUCCCUGCCACAGGCGGUUCUCGAUGGCUCCAAGUCAGGAUACCUCUGCUCUGCUGCUAUGGUCAGAGGCAGAAAUACUUCUGAAUGCCAGACGCUGAAAACCAGGGAAGGGGAGAAGACUCUGGUGUUCAAAUUUUCCUUGUGGCUUUCCUACAGGGCAGGCAUCUGAUGAGCUGCUAGGAGAACAGGAUGUUGGACUAGUCGGGCCAUUGGCCCAAUCCAACAGGCUCUUUUUAUGUUCUUAUGAGAUUGGAGCAGGGAACAAGAACAACAACAUUUAUUAAAAAGGUAAAGGGACCCCUGACCAUUAGGUCCAGCCGUGACCGACUCUGGGGUUGCGGCACUCAUCUCGCUUUAUUGGCCGUACAGCUUCCGGGUCAUGUGGCCAGCAUGACUAAGCCGCUUCUGGCGAACCAGAGCAGUGCACGGAAACGCUGUUUACCUUCCUGCCAGAGCGGUACCUAUUUAUCUACUUGCACUUUGACGUGCUUUUGAACUGCUAGGUUGGCAGGAGCAUGGACCGAGCAACGGGAGCUCAACCCUUCAUGGGGAUUUGAACCGCCGACCUUCUGAUCAGCAAGUCCUAGGCUCUGUGGUUUAGACCACAGCGCCACCCGCGUCCCUAUAAUAUUUAUUAUUUAAUAUCAAAAUGAAUUAAAAAUGUAUAUUAUGACCAUUGUUGAACAGUAUUUUUAAAGGAAUAUAGACAGACAACAAGAUUUGUAUAUAUAGAAAGAUUUAUUUGUUUACAGACAUUUCAUGGACAAAGUGGAAGAAGAACAAUUAUAUAUAAAAUGGACAAAGACAAUGCGAAAAGUUAAAGAUGACAUAAAAAAGCCGGAAGAAGGAAGGAGGGAAGUCAGCUUGGGAAAGCAAGAACAAAUGUAAUAUAUAAUGUAAUAUGUGUAUGUAUAGUAUGUAAUUAAAAAAAUCAAUAAAGAUCAUCUUUAAUAAUAAUAUAAUUUAUUUACACCCCACCCAUCUGGCUGGGUUUCCUCAGCUACUCUGGGCGGCUCCCAACAGAAUAUUAAAAACACAAUAACGCAUCAACCAUUAAAAAUUUCCCUGUACAGGGCUGCCUUCAGAUGUCUUCUAAAAGUCAUAUACAGUGGACCCUCUGGAUAUGAACUUAAAUCAUUCCGGGGGUCCGUUCACACCCCAAAAAUUACAUAAAUAGACCUGCGCUUUUGGGCAUGCACACGCCAUGAUCGAGCGCUUCUGCGCAUGCACGCGAGGUGAAACCCGGAAGUAUACACUUCCGGCGUUGCCGUGGCCGUAACCCAAAGAUUCCAUAUCCAGAGGGAUAUGUAAGUAGAGGUACGACUGUUUAUUGCCUUGAGAUCUGAUGGGAGGGUGUUCCACAGGGCGGGUGCCACCACUGAGAAGGCCCUCUGCCUGGUUCCCUGUAACCUCACUUCUCGCAGGGAGGGAACCGCCAGAAGGCCCUCAGAGCUGGACCUCAGUCACUGGCCUAAACGAUGUGGGUGGAGACACUCCUUCAGGGUUUACAAAGGGUUAAAGCCCCUCAUGCCCCCCUAUGUGGAUCAGGGACCCAUCCUGUUAAUUUGUGUGGAAUCUCUGAUUCAUGGGCUAAACAUGAACCAUGCAGAUAACAGUCUGGUCCUGUGCCCCUAUUCAUCUUUUCCAAGAAUUGCAGUGCUACAAAGGGGCUGAAGGGGUCAUCCAGCCCAACCCCUGCCAUCCUUCCACCGCUUCUCAGAUUCAGUCUUUCUUUCCAUCUUCACACACAUCCUUUCCUAGUUUGCUCUCUCUUCUCAUUGCACAGCCGACAUUUUUAUUCCAGAAGCGACCCAUCUUCUGCCACCGACUCACUUUAUUCGUUUAUUUUAUUCAUAACCAUGUUUUAUAUAGCACUGUGUCAUAAAAAUAAUAAUAUCACAGCGGUUUGCAAGAAUAUAGAAAUGUAAAACCAGACAAUAAAACCAUAAAACUUAUAAAGUAAGUUGAAAGCUAGAAUAAAUAAAUAAAUACAUUGUGGAAGGAUGUCUUCUGCCUUGCCUGCAAAGUCCUGGAAGAAUUGAAACAUUUCCAGCAGGGAUUUGAAAGCUGGCGGAGAAGGCACCUCCUGCUGAAUCCCCAGUGGCAAAGAGUUCCACAGGACUGGCCCAUUGACACUAAAGACUUGGUUUCUCAUUGUCAUCAAAUGAAUUCCACCAACUCCAGGAAUGACCAGCAAUGCUCCUGCAGAUAAACUCAGUUCGGGGAAUCCCUGAGCUAUCCUGAACCUACGAUUACAUUGUUCAGGGCUUUGCUUUUUUUAUAUAAAAAAAUUAUUGGGUUUUUGAUAUUUUUAUGCAUAUAAAACAAAACAAUUUCAAACAUUAAAAUACAAGGUUCUUUUGAACCUUCAGGCCUCCUUCCCUCCCUCCGUGAGUUCCAUAUUUAGAUUUAAGUUUACUGCAUCUUUUAUCCAUCUAUUAAAUAACCAUCAUUAUCAUAAAUAAUUCCAUGUUACACGUGUCAUUACAUCCCUGCCAAAGGUUCUAACUGUUUACAGUGGUCUUUUAAAUAAAUUGCAGAUUUGCUCCAGUCUUUAGAAAACACAGUACAUGAUCUUCCUGGUUUCGAAUCUUCCCCGUCAGUCUUGCCAUCUCCUCAUACUUCUUCAGUUUUGUCGGCCAUUCUUCUUCUGUUGGUUCUUCUCCUUCCUUCCAUCUCUGGGCUAAAACUCUUUAAUCUUCUCUUGGUAGCUCUUCACCUAUUAUACCUAGUAAGAAGGCUUCUGGUUUUUUUAAGAAAGGUAUUUUUAAACAUUUUCUUUAGUUCCUUAUAUAUAAUUUCCCAGAAAGCCUUUACCAGUGUACAUAUCCACCACAUAUGGUAAAAAUUCCUCCUUCUCUUUACAUUUCCAACGCAAUUUUGAACUUGUCUUGUACAUUUUAGCAAUUUUACUCAGUACUGUCGUACCUCAUGUUACGUUUGCUUCAUGUUACGUUUUUUCAGGUUGCAUCCUGCGCCGACCCGGAAGUACCGGAAAGGGUUACUUCCAGGUUUCGCCACUCGCACAUGCGCAGAAGCGCCAAAUCGCACCAUGCACCUGCGCAGACACGACGCUUCAGGUUGCGGGCUUUUCAUGUUGCGAACGGGCCUCCGGAACGGAUCCUGUUUGCAACCGGAGGUACCACUGUAUUAGAUACCAACGAUACAUCCUUUUCAUAUAGUUUUCUUUCAACGAACAGCAUGUGGAAAACUUUAUUCCUUCUUUCCAUAACUCUUCCCAAGAUAAAAGUUGGCUAUUACACCCUGUUAUGUACUGAGUUGAAUAGGAUCCAAAAUGCAGCAGUCUGAUUGGUCCUAGAACAAUGCAGCAGUAUGAUUGGUCAGCAGGAGCCACCCAAUCUAGCUCCAGGUGGAGGUGAAUCCACAACCUGAUUGGCCUACAGGAGAAUCCCGGAAUUAGCCAAUCAUGUGCAGCCCAUUGUGUAAAUAAUGUAUAUAAAGCAGAUAUUUUGGGGAAACUUUCAUUUCCUCCUCACCACUAUGAGCUGAAUAAAGAGAAUGAAAUCCACUCACGACUCCAAGCACCGUAUUUUUCACUCUAUAAGACGCACCAGACCACAAGACGCACCUAGUUUUUGGAGGAGGAAAACAAGAAAAAAAUAUAUUCUGAAUCUCAGAAGCCAGAACAGCAAGAGGGAUGGCUGCGCAGUGAAAGCAGCCAUCCCUCUUGCUGUUCAGGCUUCUGUGAUAGCUGCGCAGCCUGCAUUCGCCCCAUAAGAUGCACACAUAUUUCCCCUUACUUUUUAGGAGGGAAAAAGUGAGUCUUAUAGAGCAAAAAAUACAGUAUAUUUCACACCCAAAAUCUCUAGCCCAAUGUAUCAUCACUGCCUUGACUGCUUCGUCUAUUGUAUGCCAUUCUAAAAGUAACUUGUAGAUUUUUUAUGACACUUUGCAGAUUAAUUCCAGGUAUCUGAGCCUGCCUCGGUAGCAGCUGGGCAGUCCACGUCUCUCUUUAAUCCUGAGCUCAGACUUUUGCUCCCGAGUAGCCUGACUAUAACCUCUUCUCCUUUGACAUCCCUGAGCCUGGUUUUUCUCCAAACAGAAGGGGAUAUUUUUUGGCCCCAAAGAGACCCGAGCUCUGAGCGGGCCAAAGUGUAGCCAGAGGUUUGUUUAGAAGACAAGCGGGUGAGUCACUUUGCAGUUAUUUUGCUGGUUUACAGUACGCUAUGAAAAAUAGGCCUUGUGUUUAAAUUAGGCAAGCCCAUUGUGUAUUUUUUUUUAAGAAAUGGCUUGCGUGCGCGAGGCUGCAAUUAAGGUCCCAGAGAGAGCAGCAAACUGACGGGAGCGGAUGUGCGGACCUGGGGCAGGGAGGGUCAGCGGGAUGUCAGCGCAUGGAGGGUGCUGGUGUGGCGAUCACACAGGGUCCCCGGACGUUUGUCUAUUGAUCUCUAUGCCACCACUGUGCCCGCUUCCCCGUUGCCACCAACCCGUUACUCUCGGGUACACACUGAGUCCAGACAGUUGUUAAAACUGAACCAAAUAAACAAGUUUAUUUUAUAAGAGUUAACAAUUUUAUGGUUUCUCAGAUAAUAUUAUUGUCAGUUUCUUAACUUUAGUUUCUUUACCGGCCUAUACCUUCCUAGUGCCUGGAGUGCCUGGAGGCGGUUGGAGGAUGGAGGAUGGAUGGCGGCUAACAGAUUGAGGUUGAAUCCUGACAAGAGGCUGGAAGGAAGGAGAGAAGGUCCCUCAACUCAGGACCCAAACCCUGUAUUCCCCCGAAAAGGCUCAACCACUUUGGCCAACCAAUAGCUCAACAACAUGGGUCAAUCGCUCCCUUAAAAAAGGUCAACAACUCCUGGCAAUGACAAUGGGUAGACAACAGCCAGUCUUUUUAUACAGUGGUACCUCUGGAUACGAACAGGAUCCAUUCCGGAGCCCCGUUCGCAUCCAGAAGCAAACACAACCCGCGUCUGAGCGUGCGCGGGUCGUGAUUUGCCGCUUCCGCGCAUGUGCAUGACAUCAUUUUGAGCGUCUGCGCAUGUGUGAGCGGCGAAACCCGGAUGUAACGUGUUCCGUUAUUUCCGGGUCGCCAUGGAGCACAACCCAAAAGUGCUCAACCUGAAGCAACUUCAAUUCGAGGUAUGACUGUACUGUGAGUAGAUCGCAGUCUCUCUCUUGGGAGUCGAACUAGAUUUCAAUGUGUGUGUAUGUGGGAUGUGUGACAAGAAAUUUUCCAGCCGGGGUACCACUUGACCUUGCUACACAACUCACUGGCAGCAGGACUGAUGUCUGCACCGCAAGGAAGGCUUUUUCCUCCUUCUCCUCGCCUCCUCUCUCCAGGGUCAGCAAGGCCAAGGAACCUCCCUCGCUGCCUUCAGAUCCUGCCCUCACUUUGCAAACGCAGCUCAGAGUUCGGGAUGAGAAGAAUUGCUCCGCCUAUGUCCUUCCCCCCACCCACCCUUCAAAACCCACAAAUAUGACAUUGAUUUUUUUUCAAUGGACGUUUUUUCUUCCUUUCUGCUGGAAGAUUCAAUAAUUUCAUUGGGCUCCUUGCUGCAAUGCUGUACUUAUUUCAGAUUUGGACAUUUUCCCCCUCUUGUGCCUGAGUCCGCAGCAAUUUGAAAUUUGCAUGUUAAUUAUUGCUUUUUCAGGCCCCUGGCUGCCCCCUUAAUUCCAUAAACCUAUCCCCAGUGUUCACUAACCUUCCGUACAGGAAGCAUUACUCAAAAUAGUGCUUUGCGUGACCCACCUAGGAGGGUAAUAACACCAUAAAAUCCAAUGUAUAUUCUCUGUGUCUCUCUCUCUCUGUGUGAAUGUUUGUUUGUUUUAAAUCUGCGUAUUUCAUUUCAUUUUCAUCUAACGUUUAAUUUGUAUACUGCCUUUCUAUAUUACUAUACAUGAGGCAUCUGAAGAUCUCAGGGUGGUUCGCAACAUAAAAAUACAAAAUGAAAACACAAAAUUAACAACAACAACAACAAUAACUACAUUAAUAUUAGCAAUGCCCAAUUUACAUUUACGUAAAAGGACGUAGAUUGUUAAUUAGCCAAAAGCCUGGCUGAAGACAAAUGCUUUUGAGUUGAAGAUAUGCAGUGAAGGUGUCAGUGGCAAUUAAUUGCAUAUUCGUACAAAAUCCAAUUAAAAGUCUUUGGUUUAAUUAAUUCAACAAAAUGGAUGAACUUGAACCAAUGUUAGCAGCUUUUCAAAUUCUGGUAGCCAUUUAAACCUCCAGCAGCCCCCGGCCCCUUGCCUCUCAGCGCCCCCCAGGGAACCCCACCUCCCUGCAGGGGGCACUGCUACCCACUUGGGGAACCCCUCAGGUCGAUGCCCCUUUGAGUCCCUUCCAGAAUUCUCUAGCUGUGAUUCCUAGAAGUCAGUUAUUCCCUGUGUUUGGAUCUGAGCGUCGCCUUUCCUUGCUAAGCUCUGCAUGCAAUAUUUCUAUUUUAGUGGGUUCAGACUCCCUUUCCGGCACGGUGUUCCGAACCCUCCUCCCUCCCAGCCGUUAACUCAGGUCCAACUUUUCCAGCUCCCACACUUCCUUCCAGAAUCCAAUCAGCUCCGUCGUUUCUAGUCACGCUGCAGGUCCUUCAGAGUUGCUGGCUGCUCUCUCUCGGCCAGGAAGCAGCAAAAAUUGUAUCUGUGUUGUUAAAACUUGGGCCAAAUCUCUCUUUUCCCUUCCCCUCAUUCGCUCGCACCAGCCAGCAAAACAGAACCCUGCAAUUAAGCCUUGUCUCUGUUCCAGAGCUGAUGCUGGGUGGGGUUUAAUGGGAGAAGCCAUGUGGGCUGCUGCUGAGCAUUAUGUGUCAAGGUGUCUUCCAGAUUUGUAAGGUACAGCGAGUGUUACCACUAAAAUUGCAAGGGAAUUAUAUUCUUCUGGUUUUGCAUCUGGCCAAGGAGCACAGCAAGCCCAUUUUGUGCCCUUUGAGGCUUCCUCCAAGACCCAUCAUUUAUCCUCCUGCAAGAGGGAACGAGACGUGCAAGGAGGAGGCUCACCUGGCCCGAUCCAAAACAGCCGUUUCCCCCUCGAGUUUCGCAAAACUUUGACGGGGGCAGGGAAAGCGAAGACAAGCCAUGGACAACCUUGGCCAGCCAACGCAAACCCGAGACCAGAGUCUAAUUAGUACAUUUCUGGGUGUUCCAAAAAGUUCCUUUUAGUGCUUUUGGCAGGAGGUUUUCAAACACUGAAUUUCCCCUUUGGCUCCCCUACUCAAAACGGGGGGGGGGGGAGAGUCACUUGCCACAGCAGUAGGUUGCAGAUGGAGAGAACUCUCUCCUUUCUCCAGCUCAGUCAGUUCAGAAAGACUCAGGUGGGGAGAGGUGGCGGUGGAAUUGAAGGACAUUACAUGCAAUCAUAGAAAUGUAGUGUUGGAAGGGAUCCUCAGGGGUCAUCUAGCCAAACCAACCCCCUGCAAUGCAGAAAUCACAGCUAAAGAAUUAUCUUCUUCUUUGGCAAUCUCUCGUAGCCGAGUAAGAUUGUCUUCCAUAAACACAGUUUUAACAAUGAGUCCGUACGUGACUGUGGAGGCCAAUUCUGGACCCACACGUCCUUCCACAGUGGGGACAUGGGUUUCUGGGUAGUUGUCUUUUAUGACCGCCAGGUGGUGACCCCUAUGAUUCGCAGAAUUCAUCAUGCGAAAGGAUGGACUGGAUGAAUCCCAAGCCGGAAUUAAGUUUGCCGGAAGAAAUAUCAACAACCUCAGAUAUGCAGAUGACACAACCUUGAUGGCAGAAAGUGAGGAGGAAUUAAAGAACCUUUUAAUGAAGGUGAAAGAGGAGAGCGCAAAAUAUGGUCUGAAGCUCAACAUCAAAAAAACUGAGAUCAUGGCCACUGGGCCCAUCACCUCCUGGCAAAUAGAAGGGGAAGCAAUGGAUGCACUGAGAGAUUUGAAUUUCUUGGGCUCCAUGAUCACUGCAGAUGGUGACAGCAGUCACAAAAUUUUGUUGUUGUUUAGCCAUUUAGUCGUGUCUGACUCUUCAUGACCCCCUGGACCAGAGCACGCCAGGCACUCCUGUCUUCCACUGCCUCCCGCAGUUUGGUCAAACUCAUGCUGGUAGCUUUGAGAACACUGUCCCACCAUCUCAUCCUCUGUCGUCCCCUUCUCCUUGUGCCCUCCAUCUUUCCCAACAUCAGGGUCUUUUCCAGGGAGUCUUCUCUUCUC